GCCUUGCUAGCUCAAUCGGUAGAGCGUGAGACUCUUACAAAGUUUCACCUUCUAAAUAGAGCGAUUGUAUACGAUGUGAAAUCUCAAGGUUGUGGGUUCGGUAAGUUGCACCGUGUCA